UGCCUCUCAGGGUUGUACCUGGAGAGUUUCCGGUACUCUAUCAUUCUCAACUACAGGAGGGAGAGUCAAGCAGAGCCCUACCCAUUCCAUUUCUAGCUUAGUCAGUGGCUAGUGAGUGGAAGGCCAUCUGCUACAAGU